rnacentral:lncRNA from 1 species
AGCCUUAUCAGCAUUGGUGAAAAUCUGGAAACACAACCCCAAAUAGGUAAGCAAGCAUAAAACUUGUUACGAGACACAACAAUCCGAAAGUUUGAAACUUUACAAUUUUCCUCUGGGGAAUGGAGAGCAGGAGGUUCCUCAACACAGGAUCAGGCUUCAGUUUGUUGUAAGGCAAAGUUCCAUGAACACAAGCAUGGAACUCGUCGUUGUCGAAUUCAUAUCCCAGAGCCUGCAAAGAAGGAAAAGAAUCUUUAGUAGCAAUUAAAGGAUCUAUUUUUUCGAUUCCAUGUUUGAUUCUCUCUCUUGCCUUAAGACCAGCCAUUGUUGUUCCAUGUUCUUUGUACAGGUCCAAGCACAUUCUUGGGACAUCACUUUCAUCAAUGGCCAGCUUUUGCAGCAUGAACUCUGCCACAUAAGUGAAACACAUGAAUGAAUGAAUCACAGGUACCGUAAUCUCAAUUUUUGUCAUGGAAUCGUAACAUCUUUAAUAUGGUCUAACCUUGUAUGUUCUUACGGCAGGCCAAGUUGAGACCAGAGCUCAAUGGGUAGAGAGUAUCAUCCAAGUCUGUUUUCACAACAACAACAACACAUAUUACUACACAAAUGAAAAGAAACUUCCUUUUUCUGGACUGAAUAAGGAUUUUGCAGGUAAAACAACAUUUACCAAAGAGCAAGCAGUCAUAUCUGGGUCCUUUGGUGCUUCCAACUGCAUCCAUCUCUAGAAAAGCACCUGCUAACCGAAAAAGAGACCCGGAUUGAUCAACCUGAAAUCCGAAUACUAAGGAUGAAGA